UUCUCCUCCUCCCCCCUCCCUGGAAUGUGUUAUCUACGGUCGCAGCUGCAUGGCAGCGAACAGCGACCAUUCCCCAUCCGCCGAUCUGUCACGCGCCGCUUUAUUCGCUCGCUGAUUCUCCCAAGCCCACCUGACCCACCAGCAGAGGCGGCGAACCUGGGACCAACAUGGCGCUGGCAAGCGCAACGUUCCUGGAAGGAGAUGUGGAAUCUGGCACCAUGGUGGCAACAAGCUACAACUGUGCCGUGUUUUUUUUUCCAACAUCAGCAAACCCCCAGAGCGCAUUUCCGCAUAAAACCUGCAGGGGCAAUGCGAAGUUUGGCUUUCGUUAAUGACGCUCGGGUAUUGUGACUAUACGAGCGGCUUAGCUAAGCAGCGCUUCAUAGCCUUGCCAGUUAGUCUGCAGAUCUGUGCAUGUGGCGCAUGCAGCAGACCCGCAUAUUCACUUAACCCACACUACGUCGACAUUUUCUCGAUUCUGAGCCGUGUCGAGGUGCUGACACUGAUGUUAGCUAGCUAACUUCUAGCUAGCUUCUGUGACAACGAGACACAAGACUCGCCCUGCUAGCGUCGCAUUGUCAUUGAAUUCCGGACUCAUCAGUAGCCCGUCCGUGUGUGGAACGAGUUAGUUGCGGUUGGGAUAAGCUUCCCCCCAUGCACAAGUGCACAUUUACAAGUUCUCCCCCGAGAGCGCUUUCCUGCUGAACAGCCAAUAGCCGGCCGGCGUCUUUGAAAACAAAGUACAUUGAAGAAGGGAGCCCGACGCUUGGCGUCGCACGGCCACAAAACAAUGACAGCAUGUCCUUGAGUUAUAAAUGUAUAAUAUCCCUCAGGUGGCAGCGGGAGAAGCCAGCCUCUGAUUGGCUUUGGUUAUAAAUCAUUCAUUACGCUUCACAUCAAUCAUUAAUAUUCCAGCCAAGCCGGAAUCCUUUAUGUAAAUACUGUCACACGUCAGAAGGUUACCAUUGUAAACUUGCUUCGACAGGAGUUUUGAAACUUUUUGAUAGCCGGCUGCGGGGCGCCGUAUUUGUGCGCCCGUCUUGCUCUUUUGUUUUUUUUAAUAAGCUGCCAACUAAGUGUCAGCCAAUGUCACACAAGAGUGCUGUCAAUAUCGAGUGUCGUUGCAAAGUCGUCUUGCGCACGUCGUUGAAAAGUUGAGCGGCGGCCCGCUUGUGCUAUCGCACUCCAGACCAGGAGGGGGCAGCCCAUUAAUGAGCCUUUGCGUGAUACAUUUCCGGUGUUAUGUUUAGCUACCUACCUACCUAGCUACCUACCCACCUAUAUACCUAGUAGCUAGAUAUCUAGCUAGCUAACUAGCCAGCUAGCUAGCGCUAUCUCUCUAACACAUAAUGUGAAACGCUGUAGAAGUGCUAACAAAACUAGCGUCAACAUUGCGACAUAAACCUUUAAAUAUCAGAUUUUUGAACACAAAUAAUAACAUACAACUAAUAUUACUGCAGCUUAAGUAGGAAAUGUAUCAUUCAAUCGAAAUGUAUUCCAUGAACACAAUGUCCAUGAAAUGGAAGCGUGUAAUCACACUGCAACUGUUUUCGCACAAUCCGGUAGCAUGCUACGUGCUUGUUCAUACACGACUGUCUGGAUCGGUGAUGUUGAUUGACGACGCUAUUGAAGCCGCCGAUGGUUCCGAGAUGAUAGUCGCUCGAUUUUACAUUUGUCGUGGCCGCUCCAACUUUCAGACACGUGGGCGGCGGGCAAUAAUAUGAGACGGGGAGCCAAAGCGGCCUCUUUUUGUCAUGUUAAUGUGAGCCCGCGUGACGCUGGGCAAAUGGGAUUUACAGUAGCGAGCCGGCAAUGAAAUGGAAUUGCUCACUUUUCCAGAAAUGGUACGAGCAAGUCUGGCCAGUAAAUGAAAGUCCUCUGGCAGCCCAAUGAGAAGGCGGGACACGGCGAGCUGCGGCGGGCGCAGGUCACGGAUAUGCUGCAAUUCCACGCCUCCACUUUUCAGCUUUUAUUGCUGGACUUUUUUUUUUUUUUUUUCAGGGGGAGUGAAACAAUUGUCAAGACUGAUGUGACGCAAAGGUUGCGUAAAAGCGCAGAUGGCAUCAGCAUAUUGGCUUCUUUUUUUCCCCCCCUUCUUCUUAAGCUCACGGAGGCACUGAGAACUUUCCCUUUUUAUGCCUCGCGACCAAACCAUUAGCUCUGCCAUUUGGGGAAAGAAAGUUGAAAGUUUUUUUUUUUUCUGGUGAAGUCGAAGAGCAAUUUCAGGAGGAUUGUGAUGGAAAGCAGCUGAACAUUCAUUCCGCAUUCUUGAUAUUCCGGUUAAGGUCCGUGCACGCGAGUACAUCUUUGUCGUCACGAGUAAGGAAAUGACUCGUGCAAUAGGGCAAGUUUUACGAGUAAUUAUUUUUUUUUUGUCCGCAACUUGGUAAUUAUUUUUUUCCUCGACUGGUCUUCUCCUGAAUCUUUAUAAAAUUCAUCUUGAUGAUCCAGUCAGUCGAGCCGACUGGUGCCUUCUCCCUCACCCCGCCUCCCUGCUCGACAUUCCCGCAGUCCGUUGAAACUCCUCCGCCGUUCAAUCAGACGCCGGAUGAGGCAGGGCGACCGUUUGGCCGCUUUGUCACGGGAACGCCACGCCGGAUGCUCGCCAAACCGUGCAGAGGAAGAUAAAACAAAACAAAGCGGCGUUGUUGUUUUCAACUUGGCAGGGUGACACACGUGGACGUCUAUUGUUUCGACUUCUGGACUGAAAUAAAACAUUGUCGGUUUGUCGGCUGUGAUGAGGCUGCAGGCCUGAUCUCAAUCAUCUUUCCCGAGUGAAAGCAAUAAAAAACGCCAGGAAUCACUUCCAGCCCGCCCCCUUAAAAAAACAGCAAAUAUUCAGCAACAUUUUUUAAAGGACAAUGCUGGACAAUAAUAUACCGUAAAUUCCGGACUAUAAGGCGCGACUUUUUUCCAAAAUUUUUAACCCUGCGGCUUAUAGUCAGGUGCGGCUUAUAUAAGGAUUUUUUUUGUGAUUUUUGUGAUGACUUGGUCACUUUUAUACACUGCGGUAUCUUGAAGAAAAAAACAACAACAAAAAUACUAUUUUGAAACACUACUAUGGCUGCUGCUUAUUCUGGCUCUGUUGCUUGUGACUAUUAUGAGCUUUAGUAGGAAUGCACGCUAGGUGACCUGCGUCAAGGGGCUCUAAACCCUUCGUCACAGGCAGUGUUUAGAAAGACAUGUUAAAGUAUGUUAUUAAAACUUUAAAAAGGCUUUCUGUGAACGGUCUUUCCUUGUAAAAAGACGCGUGUGCACGUGCGGCUUAUAUUCCGGUGCGGCUUAUAUAAGAAAAAAACUAAAAUAUCCCCCAAUUUUAGCUGGUGCGGCUUAUAGUCCGGUGCGGCUUAUAGUCCGGAAUUUACGGUACUUUUUUAAAAAUGUACAGUAUUGACUCAAUGAAAUACAAUUGAAAGAUGGCUUGGGUUGCCUAUAGACUGAAUAUAUGAGAACUGUUCCAUCUUCAACUCAAUCAUUUUCUGCAGAAUUUUGUCUAAAAUUGGUGGCCGCCUUAAGUCAGCUUGACUCAGCUCCUCGCAGAGGAUAAAGAAUAUAUGCCAGCUAUACUGCUAUGUUUUCAAACAACUGUCAUUAGGUGGCGUCUUGUGUUGGAUAUGAACAGUAGAAAGAUUGGUCUAUAUUUUUAUGGAAGAACAUAACACACCGAAUGCCUUCCAGAUUCAGUUCUGAUUCGGUUUCACUGAAAAUGUAUUUGCAGUUGCUAGCAUGAACACGAGUGAAAAAGCUAGAGCGGGACCUUUCUAGGCCACACAUGCACUGGAAAAGAUACAGCAAAGUGCUUAUCUGUUCCUCUCCCAGGCCCUAAACAUGUUAUAUCGGCAUCACGCACGCACGAAUGAACGAACGAACGAGCACGAGGAAGCCGCGGAGGUAUCCGGAGCAAUUAUCAGGCUGUUAAUGAUUGCCGCGCAUCAGCAGAGCCGCAGCCAUUCAUUACACGAGCUUCCUCAGACCCUCACCAGUCCCGGCCGGCCGGGAGCUCGCUUAUCACACGGCCCACCGUUUGACGAGCUUAACGCAAAAAAGCGAUUAAGCCGCGCCUGCGAACUUUGCCAAACCGCUCCCAUCCUACGAGGGUGCUUGUUGAUUUUGCAAUUAGUCCGAGUAAAAGGCAAGAAAAGAAAGGUUUAUUUUUUCGGUGGCGUUGUGACGUGAGCCAAGGGCAAGUAGUCGAGAGUGGCAGUAAAAUUGCACUUUGCAAAACAACGAAUGAAGCGAGAUUAAAGCUACGUAAUGGGCUGAAUAUAUGGGAGGCCGUAAAAAGUCAUACCGCGAGCCUCACUAGAAAUUGCAGCAUUUAUUUGGGCCAUAUUUUCUCAUGAUUUCUUGUUGACGUGAUCGUUUGACUUUAAUUACUUUUUUUUUUUUUGAUAGACGGAUUUGGAAAGCGAUUCUAGUCGCGUUCGGGGGAUGAUUACAGUGUCGGAAAAGAUGAUUACUGCUUGUGACUAGUCUUAAAAAAUAAUUCUAAAUAAAAAUAAAACUUAUUUUUUUUUUAGAUUUGAUCAUUUGCCGAAGCAAUCACGCACAGAUGCAGAAUUUAUAUUCAGGGCUCUCCGUUUUUUCAUUCCGCUUUCUGACCGUGGAGUCGGAGUUUCAUGAAGACGUCAUUUCGAUAACAGAUAGUUAUAGCGGCUAUUCCUUCGCGGUAAAAAUGAAAAUAAUCGAUUGACUAGCAGAUUUUUAAAAAGGCCCCAAAUUUUAAAUGAUAAUCGACCCGGCUGAUAAUUGGCAUAUCUCUAAUAUACGUACAUACAGAAUUCUGUCCAACUGGUACAACCCGAGUAAUUCACACAUCGUCAACCAAACAACCUCCGAGUUCAGUCAGGUGUUAGCAAAAUACCAUUUUGAUGUCCGAGGCUUUUUUUUUUUCGGCAUGUGUCGUUGGGUAAAACAGCCUCCUUAAUGGCGGCGAGCAAAACUGUCCUCAUGUUUCUCGCCCUAAUGGGAUGUGCCUCACAGCCACUGCACAAUAGUUCCAUUAAACGCCAGCUCAGGAGCAGGAAGUUGAACGAGAUGGAAUUUCAGCUGCCCGAGAUUAAAAGCCCACAACACCCAGGGCCGCUGAAUGAGUACGGGGGGGGGGGGGGCAAAAUGGUUGACGAGAAAGCGCGGGAGCAAGAUGGAGGCGGCGGGCAGUGUCAGUUCCGCUGUAAAUAAGAUCUCCCAAAAGGGUGCUUGGCUCCGGACUUCCUUUGUCUGGCCUUUAAUGGUUUAGCGGGCUGGGGGAGACAGAUUAGAGCGCCACCAAAAAUACGCCAGGCUUUGUCUUCCGGCUCGAUUUAUCUCCCACCCCAGGUCUCAACUUUUUGUUUUAUCGUCACUGUCGAUGGGGUGCUAAACUAGUGUUGUGCUCCAAAUACUCAAGUACGGUCCAGAUACCGGACAUGAAAAAUGGAUUCAAGUACACCAGCGGACGAGAUGGACGUGACUCACGUACUCCGGGGAGGCUUCAUUAAUCAAAGUGUAAGCUCAAGGGAAGCAUCCAUUUUCAAAGCACGGAAAGCUGAGGGAAAUGAUUUUUAUGAAGAAACCGAACCGUCCCGUUCGAUCGGACAACAAAUCCAUCAGAACUGCUUGACACUUCGUUUUUUUAUUAAAUAAUAUUUGUAAUUGUCCUAAGCAAGCCUAAAACGUGGACAACACGCAAACUUCAGACGGCGGUCGAAAACUGAAACUCAAAACGGAGUGCUCGCCAAGUAAGGUCCUGGUCUCCAUCAAAACUCCAGAGUCUGUGUAAAUAUGGCUCCCAGUUUGAGAUGGGACGCUUAAAAAGUGAUAUUUUUGUCAAAAACAAUUUUGUCUGUUCAAUAAAAAGUCAUUGAUUGUCAUCCUUCAGAUAAAUAAAUGUUGGACUGUA